UAGCCAAUUAGCAAGCAGGGCUAGAUCAGCAUUCAGCACCAACUAAAGAGAGAGUGAGAUACCUCAGCAAGGAUGGGUCAGUGCCCCUCUAUCCGGCAGCCAGAGGCAGAGUAUGUUCGCCUGCUACCGGCAGCCGGCGGCAGAAACAGGAACGAGCAGUUUGGCAAGUCAACAAAGGCCAAGAGUAAAUACUACAAAAGGUCAACCAAGCAUGAUCUUGUUCUGAGGGCAACGCUGGAAGCCAUCACAAGAAUGGGAUGAAGCUGCAAAUCUGAAGCAAAAAGAUGUCAUAUUUUCUCCCUUGAUAUUGUAGGCGUCAGUCUGAAUCCAGAAAGGCUUUUCGAAUUAUUGUGCUUCGUGUCUUCGUAAAUAUCUUGAUUAAAAGGCGUAUGAAAAUUGGUAUGAGAUUUCUUACAAGUCCGCAACAUUGAGAAAAUAACUUUGGAUAAUCUCA